UGGCCAUCAAUAUUGUGAGCAAUCGGUAUUUCUAUCUUUCUUUCUUUGCUAAAAUAAACAUUUUACUAAGAAAUCACAACAAACAAAGGUUUCCCGUCUUUCUGUUCAUAUGUAGCACACUGCAUGUCUCUUAGGCUGGAGUGGUUGUCAGGAGCAGAGCGUCCUCCUCUGGCAAUGAAGGAAAACAUUUGACUGAAGAGAGAAACCGGCUGUUAGUUCAAUAGUUUCACAGAUCAAUAACAGGUCAGUGCUGGAGGCAACUGUGAGGUUACGACUGUGACGGCAAGGUCAAAAUCUUCACUGUCGUUUGACAUGCUUUCCACCACGGAAAUGUAGAGGUGAAGAUGGGGCGAGAGGAAUGAGCCUGCUGCAUGUAACCUGACAUUUUUAAAUAGGAGCCAUGGUGGUCUCCAGUCAAAUCGAACAGAAGUGUCAUCACAUCAUAGACAUCCAACUCGAAUCAAGUAAGAGGUCUUUAGCAGCACCUCAAUGUGUUCUGGACCGUUGAAAGACAUUUUAAAUCAAUAAUGAACCAAACCAUCUAGCGUUGCCA